rnacentral:rRNA from 1 species
GACAGAGGGUGCAAACGUUGUUCGGAAUUACUGGGCGUAAAGCGCGUGUAGGCGGCUAAGCAAGUCGGGCGUGAAAUCCCACCGCUCAACGGUGGAAGUGCACCCGAAACUGCAUAGCUAAGAGUCCUGGAGAGGAAGGUGGAAUGCUUGGUGUAGAGGUGAAAUUCGUAGAUAUCAAGCGGAACACCGGUGGCGAAGGCGGCCUCUGGACAGUGACUGACGCUGAGACGCGAAAGCGUGGGGAGCAACAGG